UCAUAGAAAUGAUCUCCCUAUAAAAGUAAUCACAAAAUGUUCAAUCUUUUACACAUUAGUCUUGGCAAAGAUGAGCAGGUAGUUACAAACGCAAGUUGUUCGUUCGAGAUCAUGUAAAAUGCAAAGAGAAGAUGAACGCUCUAAGGCAUUUCGUACAAAGUGCCUCAAGGGUCACGUACUUUCUUUUACCCUGCAGAUACCUCAGCAAAUUUCGAGAUUCCAAGGAAGUGUAAAGGUGAUUCCAUAAAUGCCACAUCAGAA